GUUUGUAAGGAAGCUAGUGAAUACUUUUGUUCCAUUUAAUGAGACAGGGUGUGUCAGCAUUGCUUCCCGAGAGCUACUUCUGGCCAGGUCUGCCUGCAAGCAGGUCUGUGCCCCCCGCAUAUACACUGGAGGAUUUGUAGAAGAGCAGUAAGGCUUCUUGCCUGCUGGGUUUUCUUCUGCAGAGGAAACCCAACACAUAUGACAUGGUUGCUUUUAUGUUGGUUGAAAUGUUUAGCCAGAAAAAAGGACUGCAUGGGAGGCUGUGGUACAUUAUCACAUAACAUAUGUUCUGGAGUAUGUCUCUCUGUAAUUUAGGCAUAAAUGUGGGGGUCAGGGGUGGAUUCUGCUUUUGGGAUCUGAGUCUAGGCCAUUUUAUCUGUUUCUUCAUUUAUUUACUUGGUUAGUUUGACAUUUUCUCUAGUGCUAGAAGAUGUAGUCAACUGAUAUCUCAUUUAUUACUUUUUGUUCUCAGAAGCGUGUUUUGUUGCUCAUCUGUAGAUCUGAAUAUUGGAAGAGGUAACACAAGCAUGUGAAGAAGUGAAGGUUCUUUCCCUUAAGGUCUACACGGCAAAUUCUUUAGGCACUUUUUUACCCCAUAUUUUUGUUUACUUUACAGUAGCGCUUAUGAUUUUAGUAAUAUUUAUUUCAACAGCAUGAAGAAUGUUUUAUCAGCUCAAUCUGCUUGUGAAGACUGCUUGUAAUGAUUUAGGAUGGAGAGAGAUUCAAACAACCAAAAAGAAAUGGUGUGCCAAACACCUUACAAAUAUGGUAAAAAUAAGAUUAUGUCCUUUUCAGAAACAGUAUUUGAUAUUUGUGUCCUCUUUAUUUACUUCCCAGCAUUUGGAUAAGGAUGCUAUUCAGCAGUUUUAUUUUAGGAAAAUAAAAGACCCAUCAUCUCUGAAUGGUGUUUGAGUUGUUGGAUGGUAACAGACUCCAGUAUAGAUCCUCCUCUAGGGUAACUGCUGUCAUUGCAGAGCUUGUAUUUUUACACAUCAAUUUAAUUUGAAAUACUUGCUACCUGAUUUCUUAACUUUGUCCUCAGAACCUCAGUUUGACUCAUUGAUUAGAAGGGAGCACUAGAAUCGAAGAAUCAAAAUAAUACAGGCUUCACAGCUACUGGUCUAUAAAAAUUAGCCUUGACAUUGAAACAACAUCAAGAAUUAUAGAAAGUCAAUAAAUAUAAAAUGAUUUAAUGCUAUAUAAAAAUUUUAGCACAGUUCCAAAUAAAUUUAGAAUUUUGAGUGAAAAGAAAAUAAUAUUUUAUGUUACUGUAAUGGUGUCUACAUUGCUUGACAUGUUUUCCAAGUUAAACAUUUUUUUGGAAAACUGAAAGGAAUCAUGCAGAUAAAAUUGAAAUUUAACGAAUUUACUUCUGACUUCACUUAGUGUAUUCUACUCGUGUUGGUGAAAUAUAGCUAUGUAAUGUUUGUUCAAAGAGUGGCAGAUGACGAUUACUAGAGCCCUAGGCAGUAAAAAUUGUAAUAAGAUUUAUUUAGAUUGGGUCAUUACAGGUGCUGUUUUCAUUUGAGUGAAUGCUUCGUGUAUCCAGUCAGUAGAUUUGCAGAGUGAUACUGCAGUAUCAUUUGAGGCAAAAAGAAAAGUAGGAUUACUGUUAAUGAAUAGAGAACAGCUGUAAGGUUUAAAGAUGAACACAGUAGAACCUUGUAUGAUGUGAAGGUUCAAAGGGUAGGAAAGAAGAGUGGAGAGAUAAGUUGUUAUACUUCUAUUAUCAUAAAUCUCUUGCAGUUAAAAUAUGAAUUUCUGUGCAUUUGGUGUCUUAUUAAAAAGGCGUGUUUCCACCCA